UGGGGAAUAUUGGACAAUGGGGGGAACCCUGAUCCAGCCAUGCCGCGUGUGUGAAGAAGGCCUUAUGGUUGUAAAGCACUUUAAGCGAGGAGGAGGGUACUGGUAUUAAUACUACCAGGUACUGGACGUUACUCGCAGAAUAAGCACCGGCUAACUCUGUGCCAGCAGCCGCGGUAAUACAGAGGGUGCGAGCGUUAAUCGGAUUUACUGGGCGUAAAGCGUGCGUAGGCGGCUAAUUGAGUCGGAUGUGAAAUCCCCGAGCUUAACUUGGGAAUUGCAGUCGAUACUGGUGAGCUAGAGUGUGGGAGAGGAUGGUAGAAGUCCAGGUGUAGCGGUGAAAUGCGUAGAGAUCUGGAGGAAUACCGAUGGCGAAGGCAGCCAUCUGGCCUAACACUGACGCUGAGGUACGAAAGCAUGGGGAGCAAACAGG
rnacentral:rRNA from 1 species